AGUUUGCCAUGAUGAAAUGCAUGUUAAGUCCGUGUUUCAGCUGAUCAUCCUGAUUAAAUACAUGCUCUGAGCAGACU
ensembl:snoRNA SNORD126 small nucleolar RNA, C/D box 126